CAGCCGCCGCGGUAAUACAGAGGGUGCAAGCGUUAAUCGGAUUUACUGGGCGUAAAGGGCGCGUAGGUGGUUAUGUAAGUGAGAUGUGAAAUCCCCGGGCUCAACCUGGGAACUGCAUCUUAUACUGCGUAGCUGGAGUGCAGUAGAGGGUAGUGGAAUUUCCGGUGUAGCGGUGAGAUGCGUAGAUAUCGGAAGGAACACCAGUGGCGAAGGCGGCUACCUGGACUGACACUGACACUGAGGCGCGAAAGCGUGGGGAGCAAACAGGAUUAGAGACCCCAGUAGUCCCUGUCUUUUAUAC
rnacentral:rRNA from 1 species